CUUCUCUCUCACGCUGAGCCACGGGGCUGAACACAUCACACUGCUCCCAGCACACUGGCAGCAAUUCAAGGACUAUGGUGUCAUCUGGGUCAUAGUGAGAAGGAGAGUCCCCUGUAAGGAAGCCAGAAGGAAAACCAUGAAAGGAAGUCUUUCAAUCAACUAGCAACAAGUGAUGACUCAGCAACUGAUCUACCUGCCCGAGAUAUUGGAAACCUGUUUAUUAUUAUUGUUAACAUUCUCACCCAAGGCAGGAAUUGAGUGGUGUUCCUUAAGUAUAUCAACACACAAACAAGAUCUGUUGUCUCUCUGCUGAGCAGUAGCGGAGGUUGGGACCUUGGGAGUUGGCUUUGUCUUGGAGGAGAAAUCAAUGAUGUGGAGUCAAGAUCUUCUCCGAAGGUUCACCAGAGAGCAACUGGGCCUUGUGUACGGUCAUGUCUUCGGUUGGAGAAGGGGCUGAUGGUAAGAGGAUGGAACUGCAGGCUUUACCCAUGUCUGGCCUCGCCGCAUUACACGACUGAUGACAGCAUCUGCCAUGAAUGACUUUUCCCGGCUAACUUCAGAAAUGUAAUUGGGUUAAUCUGCUAAAAAACAUCAUGGGCCCCUUCAUGGCUUGAAGAUUCAAUCCCCUCUUUCUUGCCCUACUUCCAAAUAAAACCCCGCACAAUUAUUGGGACCCUCCCACCAUUCCUCUGCAACAUGAUCUGUCUUUUAAGUAAAAUAAGAGCCAGAGGAAUGCUGAACUUCAGCCCAGGGGUGGGCAAGUUUUUUUGGCCCGAGGGCCACAUCUGGGUAUGGAAAUUGUAUGGUGGCCCAUGAACGUUCACGAA